UGCGCGGUAGGAGAGCGUUCUAAGGGCGUUGAAGGUCGAUCGUGAGGACGGCUGGAGCGCUUAGAAGUGAGAAUGCCGGCAUGAGUAGCGAAAGAUCAGUGAGAAUCUGAUCCACCGUAUGACUAAGGUUUCCUGGGGAAGGCUCGUCCUCCCAGGGUUAGUCGGGAUCUAAGGCGAGGCCGCAAGGCGUAGUCGAUGACAAGCAGGUUGAGAUUCCUGCACUAGUUUAUUUUGUUUAAGCGAUGGAGGGACGCAGGAGGCUAAGGAAAGCGCACGGCUGGAAAAGUGCGUCCAAGCAGUAAGUCCGGUGGCGAGUGAAAUGCUUGCCGCCUUAAGGACAAGCUGUGAUGGGGAGCGAAAUUAAAGUAGCGAAGUUCCUGAUGUCACACUGCCAAGAAAAGCUUCUAGUGAGAAAUAAACUACCCGUACCGCAAACCGACACAGGUAGUCGAGGAGAGUAUCCUCAGGUGAGCGAGCGAACUCUCGUUAAGGAACUCGGCAAAAUGACCCCGUAACUUCGGAAGAAGGGGUGCUGACCGCAAGGUCAGCCGCAGUGAAUAGGCCCAAACAACUGUUUAUCAAAAACACAGGUCUCUGCUAAAUCGUAAGAUGAUGUAUAGGGGCUGACGCCUGCCCGGUGCUGGAAGGUUAAGAGGAUGAGUUAGCGCAAGCGAAGCCCAGAAUUGAAGCCCCAGUAAACGGCGGCCGUAACUAUAACGGUCUAAGGUAGCGAAAUUCCUUGUCGGGUAAGUUCCGACCCGCACGAAAGGCGUAAUGAUUUGGGCACUGUCUCAACGAGAGACUCGGUGAAAUUAUAGUACCCGUGAAGAUGCGGGUUACCCGCGACAGGACGGAAAGACCCCAUGGAGCUUUACUUAGCUUGAUAUUGAGUGUUGGUACCGCUUGUACAGGAUAGGUAGGAGCCGUAGAGAUCGGAACGCUAGUUUCGAUGGAGGCAUUGGUGGGAUACUACCCUAGCUGUAUGAACACUCUAACCCGCGCCACUAAUCGUGGCGGGAGACAGUGUCAGGUAGGCAGUUUGACUGGGGCGGUCGCCUCCUAAAAUGUAACGGAGGCGCCCAAAGGUUCCCUCAGAAUGGUUGGAAAUCAUUCGCAGAGUGUAAAGGUAGAAGGGAGCUUGACUGCGAGACUGACAAGUCGAGCAGGGACGAAAGUCGGGCUUAGUGAUCCGGUGGUUCCGUAUGGAAGGGCCAUCGCUCAACGGAUAAAAGCUACCCUGGGGAUAACAGGCUUAUCUCCCCCAAGAGUCCACAUCGACGGGGAGGUUUGGCACCUCGAUGUCGGCUCAUCGCAUCCUGGGGCUGUAGUCGGUCCCAAGGGUUGGGCUGUUCGCCCAUUAAAGCGGUACGCGAGCUGGGUUCAGAACGUCGUGAGACAGUUCGGUCCCUAUCCGUCGCGGGCGCAGGAAAUUUGAGAGGAGCUGUCCUUAGUACGAGAGGACCGGGAUGGACGUUCCGCUAGUGUACCAGUUGUGCCGCCAGGCGCAUCGCUGGGUAGCUAUGAACGGAAGGGAUAAACGCUGAAAGCAUCUAAGUGUGAAGCCCCCCUCGAGAUGAGAUUUCCCAUUCCU
rnacentral:rRNA from 1 species